AGCGACGAGUCCUCCUCCGGCGUUGGAAGAUUGCCCCAAUUUGUACGUGGUCAACACGUCAAUGGCAACGUUUAUUAAUGCGUCCCUAGCGUCCGAUAAAGAUGACUGAAGCGAUCGGUCGACAGCUGCGACAGUAAUUGAAGCCGACUAUGCAUUGCUGGUCCGCAGAGUGCAGAACGUCUGAUAGGUUUGCCACAACUGGCAAGCACAGGGUAUGUACUCUGAUCCUUCGUUCACCUUUAAACGUGAAUUGUAACUUAUGUAAGAAGUAAACAAAUGUAACACGCAUAAAGACUAAAAA